AAUGAACGUUGGCGGCGUGGAUUAGGCAUGCAAGUCGAGCGAGAACCGUAGCAAUACGGGGACAGCGGCGAAAGGGAGAGUAACGCGUGGGUACCUACCCUCGGGACCGGAAUAGCUGCGGGAAACUGCAGGUAAUGCCGGAUAACAUCCUCGGAUCAAAGGUGUGAUUCCGCCCGGGGAGGGCCCGCGUCCUAUUAGCUAGUUGGUGGGGUAACGGCUCACCAAGGCAACGAUGGGUACUGGGUGUGAGAGCACGACCCAGCUCACUGGGACUGAGACACUGCCCAGACACCUACGGGUGGCUG
rnacentral:rRNA from 1 species